UGCUUCACCCCUGAUUGCAAGCAGGGACCCCUUAGUUGGAAGCCAAGAAUACUGAUGUACUCGUGAAAC